CGCGCCCGCCCGGCCCCGCGCCGGGCCCGUCCGCCGCCAGCGCGGCAGAAAAUGAACAGAAUGUAAUGAUUAUUGUAAUAAAUAAACACCGAUCUCUGCCCGCAGUGGGCCCGCGGCCGGUCGGCGUCCGGCAGCCGGGACAGGCAGCGCGGGGGCAGCCCGCAGGGCCCUGAGGGCGCGGGGCGCGCCGGGACGCGGUUUCAGCCGCAGAGCUGCUCCAGAGCUGCUGGAAGCCACUCCGGGGACAGCAGCAGCGUGGUUAUUCCCUGGCUGUCCCUGCACACCUGAUCCUCGGCUGCUGCCCCACUUUGAAUCCCGAUUUUUCCUCUCUCAGGUGAAGCUUGUCCCAGUUUUGCCUCCAGCGCGGGGUUCCCGCUGCUCCUUCUCCUUGCCCGCGUGCCCGCAGCCCCUCUGGAAGCACAGCAAGGAGAACAUCACUUUUCACACAUUUUAUUUCCAAGCUGCUGCUUGCAAUCUUUAGUGCUGGCCUUUUUCAGCAAGGAGAGAUUAAGUUUUGAUGCAGAAAUGGAGUUAGGGCCUCGCUGUGCCUCAGGCCGCUCAGCGCUCGCUCCCAGUGCCACGGAAACAUCCUGCCGCUUUUCUUUCCAAUGAAAUUUCACAGGGAUACAAAAUGUUCCACGGGCACAUUGCCCCGUUUCCACCAAAGACAGACCCGUGAGAACAGCUGAGCCAGGCUGUGCCCUCCUCACCUCUGACUGACACAAACAUCAUCACAGGGAAAAUUACUUCUAACAGAUCCACGGGUUUUUAAACCAAAGGAUCCUGCAGAUCCUGUUCUGCCUCACGACAGCGUCUGGCUGGGUUUGCUGCAGAAACCAAAACACAGCUCCACAGCAGAUACUGCCCUGUGCCACAGGGAUGAGGGAAAAGUUACACAUUUCUGGAACAGGAUGGAGCAGAGUUUUGAGAUAUCCCCACUGCACACACAGAGAGAGAGAGAGUUGGGAAAGAGAGUGCUUGGAAAUUCAGGAUUUAUUUACAAAAAUCACAAGAAAGAUGGAAACAACAUAAACCUCUCCUCCUGGAUGUACUCUGCAAAAACCUGUGAUUGAAGAUCAUUAAAUGCAUUUACACGUUUAACAUUCUUCUUCAUAUACAACAGCAUAUGCUUUAGUCAUCAAGGCGUCGGGAGAAAAGAUGAUUGACCAAGCUGCUUUAAAAUAAUGAAACUUCCACGUUUCCCUUGGCCUCCCCUCUUUAAAGUCAUUUAGCAGAGAAACAGACAAAGAGUUCUAACUUCUCUAUAAAGACACACGAGAAUCACCUUUUCCAACUCAGACCUAACUCAGCAGUCUAACUGAGACUGGACUGGUAGGAAAGCAGUCAGGAGCACUCUGUUCCGCAGAACUGCCGAGUCACGCGCACAGCUGCACUGUCAGAGCUGUUAAUAUAACAAAUGAUGAUGAUGAUGAUGAUGAUGAUGGAGGUGGGGGAAGGAGCAGUAACACAAGAGGCUCCAAAUGUGUGGGUUUUUCCCAAAGAAAGCGCGGGG